AGUGGAUGGGGAGCAACAAAAGUUGUGUGUGUGUAAAGGUAGUGCCAAGAAAAGCUGAGUUGAUGUUGAACAAAAGAUUCCGUACCCGAAACCGACACAGGUAGGCAAGUAGGGAAUACUAAGGGGCGCGAGGUAACUCUCUCCAAGGAACUCGGCAAAAUGACCCCGUAACUUCGGGAGAAGGGGUGCCACCGAGAGGUGGUCGCAGUGAAGAGUCCCAGGCGACUGUUUAGCAAAAACAUAGGUCUCUGCAAACUCGAAAGAGGAGGUAUAGGGGCUGACGCCUGCCCAGUGCCGGAAGGUUAAAGAAGUUGGUCAGUCGGAAGAUGAAGCUAACGACUGAAGCCCCGGUGAACGGCGGCCGUAACUAUAACGGUCCUAAGGUAGCGAAAUUCCUUGUCGGGUAAGUUCCGACCCGCACGAAAGGCGUAACGAUCUGGGAGCUGUCUCGGAGAGAGGCUCGGCGAAAUAGGAUUGUCUGUGAAGAUACGGACUACCUGCAUUUGGACAGAAAGACCCUAUGAAGCUUUACUGUAGCUUGGAAUUGUGUUCGGGCUUGCUGUGCGCAGGAUAGGUGGGAGGCUAUGAAGGUAUGCUUGUGGGUGUACUGGAGCCGUCAGUGAGAUACCACUCUCAGGGGGCUAGAAUUCUAACUAAAGAAAGGACAGUUUCAGGUGGGCAGUUUGACUGGGGCGGUCGCCUCCGAAAAGGUAACGGAGGCGUACAAAGGUUCCUUCAGACUGGUUGGAAAUCAGUCGCAGAGUGCAAAGGCAGAAAGGAGCUUGACUGCGAGAAUUACAGUUCGAGCAGGGUGGAAACACGGUCUUAGUGAUCCGACGGUGCUGUGUGGAAGGGCCGUCGCUCAACGGAUAAAAGUUACUCUAGGAUAACAGGCUGAUCUCCCCCAAGAGUUCACAUCGACGGGGAGGUUUGGCACCUCGAUGUCGGCUCAUCGCAACCUGGGGCGGAAGUACGUCCCAAGGGUUGGGCUGUUCGCCCAUUAAAGCGGUACGUGAGCUGGGUUCAGAACGUCGUGAGACAGUUCGGUCCAUAUCCGAUGUAGGCGAGAGAAUAUUGAGAGGAGCCUUCCUUAGUACGAGAGGACCGGGAAGGACGCACCGCUGGUGUACCUGUUAUGAUGCCAAUUGUAAACGCAGGGUAGCCAAGUGCGGAGAGGAUAACCGCUGAAAGCAUCUAAGUGGGAAGCCCACCUCAAGAUGAGUAUUCUGUGUUAAGGUCACGGGAAGACGACCCGUAAAUAGGCACGAGGUGGAAGUACAGUAAUGUAUGAAGCCGAAGUGUACUAAUAGACCGUCAGCUUGA
rnacentral:rRNA from 1 species